rnacentral:rRNA from 1 species
UACGUAGUCAGCAAGCGUUGUUCGGAGUUACUGGGCGUAAAGGGUGCGUAGGCGGCUUUUUAAGUUUGGUGUGAAAUCUCCCGGCUCAACUGGGAGGGUGCGCCGAAUACUGAGAGGCUAGAGUGCGGGAGAGGAAAGUGGAAUUCCUGGUGUAGCGGUGAAAUGCGUAGAUAUCAGGAGGAACACCGGUGGUGUAAACGGCUUUCUGGACCGUAACUGACGCUGAUGCACGAAAGCGUGGGUAGCAAACAGG